GUGACCCAACACUAAUACAUUGAUACCUACUUCCUCUUGGUCAUGUCGCGUGUAUUUCAUCCAACACAGCUCAGCUUUUCCCAUCCAUUGCUCUUGCGUUCGUCGGUUGCCGUCAUCUUCCUCUUGGUUGCGUUCCCCAUCUGCUCCCGUCAAAUCGCCUCUGCUACCUCCGAUUGCAUCAUCGCCGACGCUCACCUUCCCUUCCGUGUUCAAGGAGGUUUAGCUCGCUGGAACUGGUGGAACCAGCCAUAUUUCGACAGCUCCCUUCAUUCACUGUUGUUUGUCCAUUUUUUUCUCAAGUCCAGAUUUGAGUGCAUUCCCAAGGAGAAAAUCGCGGAUGAGCAAUGCUUGAGUCAGGGAUGCUUGUGUGUGUUGCAAUGACUAAUGUUUCUAGGAAGAUUUUGAAUAAAGGCAGCAACUUCUUUGAUUCUACAGGGCUAGGUAAAUACUAUUCUUGUCAUAUAUUUGAUUACUUCCUCAUUUCAUUGUCACAACUUUUAACUUUUUCUUAUUACAACUUAUAAAAAUUAAACAGAGAUGGACUUUGAAGGAGAAACCAACCCUCAAUCCUUCAUAUACAGUUGCUAUUGCACACUACUUCCAAUCAUUUUUAAAAGUAUGCACAAGGUUGGUGUUUGUUUCAUUCAAAAAUUGAUGAAAGAGGACUUUUAUGCCAUGAGGAGGAAGAUACUAGAAGCUCUGUGCAAGAAACAUGGCAUCCCUGCUAAUUUGAAGAACAAAUAAAUGGUGGACAAGCUUUCCUUGACUUUUAAGCUCUUUAUUAGUAUCCCCUUUUCUUCAAGUUAAGUUUCUUUACCCUUUUCUUUUGUCUGUUUUGAUCAUUUAUGAUGAUCUAUGUUAUGUUGAUCUGAUAGUUUAUUGAUUUGGUUGUUGAGCUUUUUUUGUGGCCCAUUUGUUUUCUUUAUAAAUUUUCUUCUUCCUUGCUGUUUCUAAUUCUGUUUUUUAUUGGGUUGGAAGAUGUUAGCUUGAAAUUUACCUCAAACUUAUUAGCCUAUUAUUAUUAUUUAAUUAUUUCACAACAUGAGUGUGUGCUAUAAUUUAAAUAUAGUAGUGAAAUUAAUUAAAUUAGCGAAGAACCAAAGCCCUUUGAUGAUGUGUAGGGUACUAUACUUGAAGCCUAUAGUUGGAGCGGAACACUAAAAUCUUCAAGGACAGAUCCUUGUGAUGGUAUCUUUUAUGGUGUAAUGGUUUUCUUAUCUUUGUAAGUGAAUAAUUUGGUAUAUUUUUACCCGGCUAUGUUAGGGUCAAAGGAGGACAAAUCAGAAGCUUGAACGUGUAUGGGAUAACAAAAUGUUAUGAAGGUUAAAUCUUUAAGAGACAUUGCCACGAAGAAAUAGAAUAGGAGUUGAAUCUUUGUGCAAUAUGUAUAUAAGGAUGAAACCCUUUGGAAUGAUAUAAGUAUGAUAAUAUUUCAAUUUCAUUUUGUGUCUGAUAAACUAAAUUGAGAAAUUAGCUAAAGGAGACUUAGGAGGUUCGUACCUGUUCAUGUGAGAGCAAGCAGUCAUGGUUACAUAUUUAUCUCAAAUUUAUUUUUUACAUUCAAGCUGGUAAACCAACCCAUUGAUUCUCAUUUUUGCCAUCCAUUCGAGUGACUUGCUUUUCUGGAUCACAUGUGUCUCAUAAACUUUUGCCUUAUCACAAUUCUCACCAUCUAUGUUCAAUGGAUUACCUUUAGUCUUUUCUUUGUACUUGUGUGUCGUUCUCGCGGUUGAGUUUUACGGGAGGUAUUGUCAGCGUGUUAAAAAUCUUAGUCUAUAUUAAUAUCUAUGAGGCAAUGAGAGACUCAUAUAACAUGAAAAAUCAAACACUUACUUUAUGGAAUCUCUUUCUUCAAGUUCCUCCUUAACUUGAAUUUUUAGAGUUUCCACCUAGAAUCCACUUCUUCAUCCUAGCACAAAGGUUAACGGUUUACUUAUUUUAGGUAGGCUACACCUAUCACAUGGUUAUUACUUUGAUUUAAUAACAUGCGUUGUAUAUAAAUUAAAAAUUUCAGGUUGUCUCAUUGACAUACCUUUCUUCUUUGAUUCAAGGAAUUACCGAAAUGGUAAGUUUGCCAAGCUUGGUGGAUUUGGAAUAUGUUCAAUUGUUCAGUUAUCCAAAAUUUAUGAUUUCUUAGUUUAAGUCCAUUGGUGAAUUGGUUAGAUUGGAGACAUUUGAAUUUUUUUCUUUAAAAAACUUGGUAAUGGGGCAAGAAGGUUUUCCAAGUAUAUUUUUGGUUAAAGAUAUUUAAUCAUUUAUGUCUUUAACUGAUUGAUCUAAUUUUUGCAACUUCCCUGACAUACCUCUCCUUUGCUUUAUCAGUUUUUUUUUUAGAAAGUGGUGGAUUUGAUUAUUUAAAAUUCCUUUAGUUCUUUAAAUUGUUUGUAUGUUAAUUUUUUUUUUCUUACUUUUUGGUAUGUUAAUUUUUCUUUUCAAUAUGAAUUUAUGUUUGUGCUUGGUGUUCUUUUAAUGUAGUUUUUCUCGAGUAGAUUAAAGGAUGCAUGGUCAACAGAGAAUACUCUGGAAUCAAGAGAUUUAUCUGCAAACAGUAUUGGUCAUGUUUAUUAUGCUCUAUGGUUAAUUUGGAAGUAGUAUCAAAGCUUCUGUAGCAGCAAAUUAUUGCUUUUAUGCAGCUGCUUAUCAUACCAGAAGAGGGGAAGCAGAUGUUAUGGUGGUUGGUGGGGCUGAAGCUUCAAUCAUUCCUACCAGUGUUGGAGGCUUUAUUGCCUGCAGGGCUUU